rnacentral:rRNA from 1 species
UCGAAGUUUACUUUGACUUAGUGGCGGACGGGUGAGUAAUGUAUGAGCAACCUGCCUUUCAGUGGGGGACAACAGUUGGAAACGACUGCUAAUACCGCAUGAUGUCAAUUGGGGGCAUCCCCGAGUGACCAAAGGAUUUAUUCGCUGAAAGAUGGGCUCAUAUCUGAUUAGCUAGUUGGUGAGGUAACGGCUCACCAAGGCUGCGAUCAGUAGCCGGACUGAGAGGUUGAACGGCCACAUUGGGACUGAGAUACGGCCCAGACUCC